rnacentral:rRNA from 1 species
GAGACUCUGUGCGCGUGCAUAUCAAUAAGCGGAGGAAAAGAAACUAACAAGGAUUCCCUUAGUAACGGCGAGUGAAGCGGGAAGAGCUCAAAUUUGAAAUCUUCGAGGUUUUACCUUGACGAAUUGUAGUUUAAAGAAGUGUUUUCUGUUAGAGAGGUGGUAAAAGUUCAUUGGAAUAGGACAUCAUAGAGGGUGAGAAUCCCGUAUUUGGUCAUUCUUUCUAGCUUUGUGAUACACUUUCAACGAGUCGGAUUGUUUGGGAAUGCAGUCCAAAAUGGGUGGUAAAUUUCAUCUAAAGCUAAAUAUUGGCGAGAGACCGAUAGCGAACAAGUACCGUGAGGGAAAGAUGAAAAGAACUUUGAAAAGAGAGUUAAACAGUACGUGAAAUUGUCAAAAGGGAAGCGUUUGACACCAGUGUUGUUUUUCCGAAAAUCAAUUACGAAUGUUUUAUUUUUGAGAAGUUAUGACUUCAUCGGCUUGCUUCUCUCUUUAUGAAACUUUCUUAAUGCACUUUUCGGUUAACAAGUCAACAUCAAUUUCUUUUGUUGUAAAAGGGUAUGAGGAAGGUGGCUUUCUUUUCGGAGAAAGUGUUUAUAGCCUUGUACCUCUGCAAUCGGAGAGAUUGAGGUCUGCAGCGUAGAUCCUUCGGGGUUAGAUACAUUUGUGCUAAGUUAUAGCUUUUCAUAGACAACUUGUUGACUAUGUUAAGUCUUGUAGCUUACUCGCUUAUGCUAUUUUACCUACGCUUAGGAUGUUGAAGAUGUAGCACAUCAU